rnacentral:rRNA from 1 species
GAUGAACGCUAGCUACAGGCUUAACACAUGCAAGUCGAGGGGAAACGGCAUUUAGUGCUUGCACUGAAUGGACGUCGACCGGCGCACGGGUGAGUAACGCGUAUCCAACCUACCCAUUACUGUGGGAUAACCUGCCGAAAGGCAGACUAAUACCGCAUAGUCUUCGAUGACGGCAUCAGAUUUGAAGUAAAGAUUUAUCGGUAAUGGAUGGGGAUGCGUCUGAUUAGCUUGUUGGCGGGGUAACGGCCCACCAAGGCAACGAUCAGUAGGGGUUCUGAGAGGAAGGUCCCCCACAUUGGAACUGAGACACGGUCCAAACUCCUACGGGAGGCAGCAGUGAGGAAUAUUGGUCAAUGGGCGCGAGCCUGAACCAGCCAAGUAGCGUGCAGGAUGACGGCCCUAUGGGUUGUAAACUGCUUUUGUAUGGGGAUAAAGUCAAUCACGUGUGAUUGUUUGCAGGUACCAUACGAAUAAGGACCGGCUAAUUCCGUGCCAGCAGCCGCGGUAAUACGGAAGGUCCGGGCGUUAUCCGGAUUUAUUGGGUUUAAAGGGAGCGUAGGCCGGAGAUUAAGUGUGUUGUGAAAUGUAGACGCUCAACGUCUGACUUGCAGCGCAUACUGGUUUCCUUGAGUACGCACAACGUUGGCGGAAUUCGUCGUGUAGCGGUGAAAUGCUUAGAUAUGACGAAGAACUCCGAUUGCGAAGGCAGCUGACGGGAGCGCAACUGACGCUUAAGCUCGAAGGUGCGGGUAUCGAACAGG